AAGACAACUCUCAACAACGGAUAUCUUGGCUCUCGCAACGAUGAAGAACGCAGCGAAAUGCGAUACGUAGUGUGAAUUGCAGAAUUCCGUGAAUCAUCAAAUCUUUGAACGCACAUUGCGCUCGAGGCUUCGGCUAAGAGCAUGUCUGCCUCAGCGUC
rnacentral:rRNA from 1 species